GACGAACGCUGGCGGCGUGCCUAAUACAUGCAAGUCGAGCGGACUUGACAGAGCUUGCUCUGUUCAAGUUAGCGGCGGACGGGUGAGUAACACGUGGGCAACCUGCCCUGCAGAUUGGGAUAACUCCGGGAAACCGGGGCUAAUACCGAAUAACAUUGAAAACCUCAUGGUUUUCUUUUAAAAGGCGGCUUCGGCUGUCACUGCAGGAUGGGCCCGCGGCGCAUUAGCUAGUUGGUGAGGUAACGGCUCACCAAGGCGACGAUGCGUAGCCGACCUGAGGGGGUGAUCGGCCACACUGGGACUGAGACACGGCCCAGACUCCUACGGGAGGCAGCAGUAGGGAAUCUUCCGCAAUGGACGAAAGUCUGACGGAGCAACGCCGCGUGAGUGAAGAAGGUUUUCGGAUCGUAAAACUCUGUUGUUAGGGAAGAACAAGUAUCGGAGUAACUGCCGGUACCUUGACGGUACCUGACCAGAAAGCCACGGCUAACUACGUGCCAGCCGCCGCCGUAACAC
rnacentral:rRNA from 1 species